ACUUUAUUUUCGUGCUGUAUUGGAAAUGCCGUCAAUAAAUUGGUUUGGACUGUGCUGUCAGUUGUUUGUCCUUUUGAAUUGACCCAGAAAAACGUUAUUCAGUCUCUGAAGAUAGCAAUAAGCUCAGCUUCAUGCUAUUUAAAUGAAAGCAAAUGUAAACAUGAAUUAACUUUCUGAAUUGCGACGCUUGAAACACAAACUUGAAGCUGUUCUUGCAGGAUGUUGGUUAAUGUUAGCAGAGUCCUGUCUCAGUAGAACAGGCUUAAACCAGACACAGGCCUGGCAGCUGAAGCUCCUACUGAACUGCUGAGGAAUUUGACUUUCUGAGUACAGGUGGUGUUAACAUGGAAGUUGUGGUUCAUCGUGAUAUGAAGCAUAUAUAACCAUGGGCAUGUUUGUGCAAGGCUACAGAGCCUCCACCAGUAUCAGUCAGUAAUUACACUGUACAUGCACAACAAUGUUACUGGACAUGUUUACUUGGAAGAGUCUCUUUUGUGUUAUGACUGAAUUUAAACCAUCAGUGUAAACCAUAGGCCUACUGUGCAGUCAGACAUUGUUCAGACCCACAGAACAUUAUUUUAAAUUCUCCACAAGUUUCAAAAUAAUGAUGCAGCCACAAAAACAUAGUUCUGAUUUUUUUUCACUCCGUAUCAACAUUUAUACUGUAGUGCUGAAGAUGAUGUAUACAUUGAUAACGUAAGAUGGUGUAGAAUAAAUAAAAUAUUUUUUCAGUGGAAGAAAAUAAAAAAGGAUAAAAUAUAUACAAGUUGGGCAAUGUGUAAAGACUAAAUAUGAGAGCAGUAUUGUUCCUGAAUUGGUAGAGAAUUCCAUAAUUUUUCCCCUUUUACUGAAAAAGAAGCCUGGGCAAAUGAUGUUUUUCGAAAAGGGAUACUACAAUUGCCUUUUGACGCUGAUCGGGUGAUGGAUCUGGUACUUUGCUGUCUUGUUGUUUUGCAAAGUGGUGGUGGAGCAGUGUCAUUUUAAACUGUAUGAGAGAGUGUUAGAACCUGCUUUGAUUAACCUCAGUGUUGACCCUGUAGGACUCCCACCCCACCUAAAGACACAUCAUCUUCAGAAAUAAACGUAACAGUAUGAUGCUGAUUAUCGGAAAGCUUAAACAAGGAUAGAUACUACUUUACAGCUCCUGAAGAAGUCCUGUUGAGCCUGCUAUUGGUUAAGAAACAGCACUUUUGUUUCACCUAAAAUAUUACUUCAGUUUUUCCAUUUGCUUAUCAUCCCAUGGCUGAAAAUUAAAAUGAAAUUAAGGAAGCCCAA